CCAUUUUUCAUUCUACAGGGUACUCCUUUUGCGGCAUUACAUUUCAUUAUUUCUGGGUAUAAAAUACCCGAUUGGAUAAGGUACCAAAGCUGGGCAGUGAAGUAAAAGUAGAGCUACCUCCAAAUUGUUUUAAUUCCAACUUCCUUGGUUUUGCUUUGUCUGUUGUCACUGUUCCCAAGUCACCUGCCUAUCAUCUUAGUUUUCUGACGAGGGGAACCCAAUGCAACUGCUUGCUCUGAGGAUCACUCUGUAGCCACGGGACAUCAUCCUUGAUAAGGAGGAACCGCGGGACAAAUGCACCCUAAUCUUCCCGUAUCAUCUCUUGAUGUCUUCAGAUCAUUUAGAGAAAUCCAUGAGGAGAAACCCAGUGGCUCGGAAUCAGAUAAUGCUGAUUACUAUACUUCUGAUGAGGGAGGACCCACUGCAACUGGCUGCCCCAAUGAUGAGAUGUGGGCAGAGUAAUGCUUUGAAUGCAGGCAUUAUCAGGACAAUCCCUGAUGAGGAGGAACCUAGAGAAAUGCUUGAUAUGCAUCCAAAUCUUCCCAUACCAUCU